AUACUCACCUGGCAGGGGAGAUUUCAUAAUCACCAAGGUGUUUUUUCCAAGGAGAGGCUUAUCUAUUGCACUCUGGAUGUGCUGACCCCUGCUAUUUCCACAAAUGUCGGAAACUGCAUAAUUUGUGGUAGUGAGCGACUGCGUUUGCACUCUUCCCGU